rnacentral:rRNA from 1 species
CAGCCGCCGCGGUAAUACGAGGGGGGCAAGCGUUGUUCGGAAUUAUUGGGCGUAAAGGGUGCGUAGGCGGUUUGGCAAGUUUGGUGUGAAAUCUUCGGGCUCAACUCGAAGUCUGCAUCGAAAACUGCCGGGCUUGAGUAUGGGAGAGGUGAGUGGAAUUUCCGGUGUAGCGGUGAAAUGCGUAGAUAUCGGAAGGAACACCUGUGGCGAAAGCGGCUCACUGGACCAUAACUGACGCUGAUGCACGAAAGCUAGGGGAGCAAACAGGAUUAGAUACCAGAGUAGUCCCUGUCUCUUAUAC